rnacentral:rRNA from 1 species
GACGAACGCUGGCGGCGUGCUUAACACAUGCAAGUCGAACGGGAUUUAGUAGACAGAAGCCUCGGCUAAAGAUUACUAAUGAGAGUGGCGAACGGGUGAGUAACGCGUGAGCAACCUGCCUAUGACAGUGGGAUAGCCUCGGGGAACCGGGAUUAAUACCGCAUAAAAUCGUAGAAACACAUGUUUCAACGGUCAAAGAUUUAUCGGUCAUAGAUGGGCUCGCGUCUGAUUAGCUAGUUGGUGAGAUAACAGCCCACCAAGGCGACGAUCAGUAGCCGGUCUGAGAGGAUGAACGGCCACAUUGGAACUGAGACACGGUCCAAACUCCUACGGGAGGCAGCAGUGGGGAAUAUUGCACAAUGGGGGAAACCCUGAUGCAGCGACGCCGCGUGAACGAAGAAGGUAUUCGUAUCGUAAAGUUCUGUCCUAUGGGAAGAUAAUGACAGUACCAUAGAAGAAAGCUCCGGCUAAAUACGUG